GAACGCAUAUUGCGCUCUCUGGUAUUCCGGAGAGCAUGCUUGUUUGAGUAUCAGUAAACACCUCAACUCCCCUUUCUUUUUUUGAAAUGGGAGCUGGACUUGAGUGAUCCCAACGCUUUUCUCACCGAAAAGUGGCGGGUUACUUGAAAUGCAGGGGCAGCUGGACUUUUCUCUGAGCUAAAAGCAUAUCUAUUUAGUCUGCCUAAAAAACAGAUUAUUACCUUUGCUGCAGCUAACAUAAAGGGAGUUUUGACCAUUAUGGCUGACUGAUGCAGGAUUUCACAGAGAAAAGGCCGGCAACGGUUUUGUCUCUGUCAAACUCGAUCUCAAAUCAAGUAAGACUACCCGCUGAACUUAAG
rnacentral:misc_RNA from 1 species